UACGUAGGGGCAAGCGUUGUCCGGAUUCAUUGGGCGUAAAGAGCGUGUAGGCGGCCAGGUAGGUCGGUUGUGAAAUCUCCAGGCUCAACCUGGAGGGUCAUUCGAUACUGCCGUGACUAGAGUUCGGUAGGGGAGUGUGGAAUUCCUGGUGGAGCGGUGAAAUGCGCAGAUAUCAGGAGGAACACCCGUAGCGAAGGCGGCACUCUGGGCCAUACUGACUGAGGAGCGAAAGCGUGGGGGAGCGAAACAGG
rnacentral:rRNA from 1 species